UACAGAGGGGGCAAGCGUUAUUCGGAAUUAUUGGGCGUAAAGGGUGCGUAGGCGGCCUGGCAAGUGGAAGGUGAAAUCCCUCGGCUUAACCGAGGAACUGCCUCCCAAACUGCUUGGCUUGAGACCAGGAGAGGUGAGUGGAAUUCCCAGUGUAGCGGUGAAAUGCGUAGAUAUUGGGAGGAACACCAGUGGCGAAGGCGGCUCACUGGACUGGUACUGACGCUGAGGCGCGAAAGCGUGGGGAGCAAACGGG
rnacentral:rRNA from 1 species